rnacentral:lncRNA from 1 species
AACAUCUUAGGGGAGUAUCAGCUAAACGCCAGGAACUUACGAGCAUAUUCUGACAUAGUCAUGUUCUCCUAGACCAAUUGGAUAAACUCCAUCUUCUUCAUAUGUUCGAUAUGCUCUGGAAGGUACUUUGCAUGAAAGGCUGCUAGGAACUGUUCACAAGUAACUGGAACAGGCAGGGUGGUCUGUUUGAGUUUCCACUAGCAUGUAGGUAGCAAGGGUGACCUUCUGCUCAGAAGUCACCUCUAUCUCUGCCAACCAGU